GGGGAAUAUUGGACAAUGGGCGAAAGCCUGAUCCAGCCAUGCCGCGUGAGUGAUGAAGGCCUUAGGGUUGUAAAGCUCUUUCAGUAGGGAAGAUAAUGACGGUACCUACAGAAGAAGCCCCGGCUAACUUCGUGCCAGCAGCCGCGGUAAUACGAAGGGGGCUAGCGUUGUUCGGAUUUACUGGGCGUAAAGCGCACGUAGGCGGAUCGUUAAGUCGGGGGUGAAAUCCUGGAGCUCAACUCCAGAACUGCCUUCGAUACUGGCGAUCUUGAGUCCGGAAGAGGUGAGUGGAACUCCUAGUGUAGAGGUGGAAUUCGUAGAUAUUAGGAAGAACACCAGUGGCGAAGGCGACUAUCUGGAUAGAUACUGACACUGAGACACGAAAGCGUGGGGAGCAAAC
rnacentral:rRNA from 1 species